UGGGGAAUUUUGGACAAUGGGCGCAAGCCUGAUCCAGCCAUACCGCGUGAGUGAAGAAGGCCUUCGGGUUGUAAAGCUCUUUCAGACGGAAAGAAACGGUUACGGCUAAUACCCGUGACUAAUGACGGUACCGUAAGAAGAAGCACCGGCUAACUACGUGCCAGCAGCCGCGGUAAUACGGAGGGAGCUAGCGUUGUUCGGAAUUACUGGGCGUAAAGCGUGCGUAGGCGGCCAUUCAAGUCAGAGGUGAAAGCCUGGAGCUCAACUCCAGAACUGCCUUUGAAACUAGAUGGCUAGAAUCUUGGAGAGGUGAGUGGAAUUCCGAGUGUAGCGGUGAAAUGCGCAGAUAUUAGGAGGAACACCGGUGGCGAAGGCGCCGCUCUGGGCCGAAACUGACGCUGAGGAGCGAAAGCGUGGGGAGCAAACAGGAUUAGAUACCCCAGUAGUCCCUGAGCGGGCUGGCAAGGCG
rnacentral:rRNA from 1 species